rnacentral:rRNA from 1 species
AACCCGACUCCACGAAGUUGGAUUCGCUAGUAAUCGCGCAUCAGCCAUGGCGCGGUGAAUACGUUCCCGGGCCUUGUACACACCGCCCGUCAAGCCAUGGGAGCCGGGGGCGCCUGAAGUCCGGGACCGCGAGGACCGGCCUAGGGCGAAACUGGUGACUGGGGCUAAGUCGUAACAAGGUAGC